rnacentral:rRNA from 1 species
GUAGGUGGCAAGCGUUGUCCGGAAUCAUUGGGCGUAAAGCGCGCGCAGGCGGUCCUUUAAGUCUGAUGUGAAAGCCCACGGCUCAACCGUGGAGGGUCAUUGGAAACUGGGGGACUUGAGUACAGAAGAGGAAAGCGGAAUUCCAAGUGUAGCGGUGAAAUGCGUAGAGAUUUGGAGGAACACCAGUGGCGAAGGCGGCUUUCUGGUCUGUAACUGACGCUGAGGCGCGAAAGCGUGGGGAGCAAACAGGGAUUAGAUACCCUGGUAGUCCACGCCGUAAACGAUGAGUGCUAAGUGUUAGGGGGGUUUCCGCCCCCUUAGUGCUGCAGCUAACGCAUUAAGCACUCCGCCUGGGGAUACGGCCGCAAGGCUG